AUGUCCUCAUGUGGGAACCCUGAGGAGAUCCCAUGGGCUGCUGCUGGUGCUGAGUACGUUGUUGAGGACACCGGUGUUUUCACUGGCAAGGACAAGGCUGCAACUCACAUUAAGGGUGGUGCCAAUAAGGUCAUCAUUUCUGCUCCCAGCAAGGAUGCUCCCAUGUUUGUCUGUGGUGUCAAUGAGAAGGAAUACAAACCUGACAUCGACAUUGUCUCCAACGCUAACUGCACCACUAACUGCUUUGCUCCUCUUGCUAAGGUUAUCAAUGACAUGUUUGGCUUCGUUGAGGGUUUGAUGACAACAGUUCAUGCCAUGACUGCAACCCAUAAGACUGUUGAUUGUCCUUCCAGCAAGGACUGGAGAGGUGGAAGGGCUGCCAGCUUCAACAUCAUUCUGAGCAGCACUGGUGCCGCAAAGGCUAUUUCGUUUGAUUUGAUGGAGGGUUAUGAAGGGAGCCAGUUCAAGAGAUCAUGUGCAAAAUAG
rnacentral:rRNA from 1 species